UUUGCUGCAGCCUGCCGGGCGCAGUUCGCGUGAUUAAGCAGAUGCCUUUCCUGGUGCUAGUAGGAACUCUCACCACCACCACCCCCAUUCCCCUCCAACCUUUGCUAGAGGAGAGAAGCCAGAGCCUGGAGGCCAAGUCCUUCAAACUCCAUUGCGACUCCUCCCGUCAGGGCGCGGCCUAAAGCCCACGGCGGAACGCUGGACUUAGACCAGGGAUGUCAGCAGGUCAGGCUUCUGUCAGUCGGAGCAGAGGCUCUCCGGUAAAGGAAUACAGCUGGCAUCAAUCAGAUCCACAUCCCUGAGAGGACUGCAUCAACUCUUUUGGAAACUGUCUUCCCACCUUGAUGCCCUGCGCUGGGCAGCUUCUGAAAAUGACACACAGGGAACUUCACCCUGACCAGGAAAAUCAAGGCUCUGAGAACUAGUUUAUUUUCUUGGAACAGAUAUGUUUUUCCCUAGUGCCAUAGAAAACAAUACAUAUAAAUAAAAAGGCAGUGUUUCUGUGGAAAAUAAAAGUACAUAAAUAAAUACUAAAAAAAAAAAAAA
ensembl:processed_transcript 0610009E02Rik RIKEN cDNA 0610009E02 gene